rnacentral:lncRNA from 7 species
ACUCAGAUUUAUAUCAGUAGAGAAUUUGGUCCAUGGAAUUGGGGGAGUCAUAGAGAGUAACUCAGUGACCUUGUUAGAUGAAGUGGUUCCCAGAGAGUGAUUUACUGCUACAGAAACCUCCCAGUGAAGGACCUGCAAGUGCAUGAAUAUUAGAAAGAGAUCUCUUGGAGUCUACCCAAAUAACAGAAAGCCAUGUGAAUGACAAACCAUAGAAAGCAGCCCUGAUGUGUCAUGGCCAGGAGCACUGUUUUCUGGAACACUGUUGAAGUAGUGAACUGACAAAUGCACAUUAUUAGCUGCCUGCCUGCAUGGAAACAAAGACAACUGAGUAUAAAACUGUUUUGCUCUACUUUUCUCCUCCCAAAAGGGUGGGUAUUUUUGUUUGUUUGGUUUUUUUUGUCCUGCAGCAAACCAUUUUUGUUCUAGAACAGAAGCUAUUAUUAGGCUUCUUCGAGGUAAAACCUAUAUGGCAUUGUAACAACCAUAUGUUAUUGGGGCACAUGGGUAGGAAUUUGAAAGGCGCAGCUCACUGCAAGAGCAACAUGCAGUGCUAGACUGUCAAUCAAGGUGUUUACAUGUUGCUAAUUAAUACUGAUGGAUCUGGUUUUAGUAGAUUUAUAGAGAAAGGUCUUUUUUUUUUUUUUUUGCAUUAAAUCUCUAAAAAUAUAUCAAGGAUUAGGUAGCUAAGUUGUUUUCCUUAUACCUCUUUAGUUGUCAGGUUUAACAUGGAUUUAAAGGGGCAUGCUUAACUGAUGUUUCAUUCAUCUAAAUUCCUUUAGCUGACAUAACAUUAGAGGAUGAGUGUGUGUGCUUAUAGCAGGCCCCAGGCAGCUGUUCAUUGUUAAGAAUCGUGUUAAGCAUUGUGUUAAUAUAACACUUAAUCCUGGGGAAAAAAAAAAAAAAAAAAAAGCUGGUUUGGCAAUCUUUCAUGUGUUUUAAGAAUAAAAUGUUCAGUUCAUUAAAAUUAUCCCAUACAAAUAAUGACUGUGGGUUAGGAACUAUAGUUCAGAAAAAUCUCAGGCAUCUUCAGUGAACUUCGUAAGUGCUCAAGUCCCAGAAGAUGAUUCUGGAAAUCCUUCUUCAUCUUUGAGGCACCGAAAGGCCAGACCUCUUAACUCUGCAACUCCAUCUGCUCAACUACUAUGGCUGUCCUCAUCCUAAGCUGCCCGACUUGUCAGAAAUCAGAGCAGAUCAACAAUUUUGUAACUCUGUAAGCUUAUCAGUAUUCAAGAAAUGAGCUUACUUAGAAAACUGUUAGCAAUGUAAUGUACUAAAAAUGCUUUUUCCAGUUUAUACCGGCUACCAAUUCAUACCUAAUAUUGUUAUUAGUAAAUCCAGUUCAUCAAGUGUAUGUACUUAGUAGCUUAAUGUCCUCAUAGAUAUAUGUUAUUUGUGGCAUCAGUGGAAAGGGAGCCCUAAGAGAACAAGCAUGUUCUCUGUAGGAGAGGCAGAGAUUUACACAGAAUGUUCCUUUUCUUUUAGAUUAUAGCAUUGAUGUCAUGAGUUUGCAUGCUUAUUUAAUUCAAAUAUGCUGGGCUUCAGCCACUAAUUUUCAAAUAUUAAUCUAAAAACCCAGACACCUUGGAAUUACAACACAGAGACCAACAGAAUGAUCACUGGAUAUUUUAACUACAGAUACUUUG